CAGAGGGCGCGAGCGUUGUCCGGAAUCACUGGGCGUAAAGGGCGCGUAGGUGGCCACUAUAAGGCCGCGGUGAAAGUUCGGGGCUCAACCCUGAAUCGGCCGCGGCGACUGUAGGGCUUGGGCACUGUAGAGGCAGAUGGAAUUCCGGGUGUAGCGGUGGAAUGCGUAGAGAUCCGGAAGAACACCGGUGGCGAAGGCGGUCUGCUGGGCAGUGGCUCGCAAGGGCCAAUAGCCGACACUGAGGCGCGACAGCGUGGGGAGCAAACAGGAUUAGAUACCCUGGUAGUCCACGCCGUAAACGAUGGGCACUAGGUGCUCCGGGGAGCGACCCUUGGAGUACCGGCGCUAACGCAUGAAGUGCCCCGCCUGGGGAGUACGGCCGCAAGGCUG
rnacentral:rRNA from 1 species